GACGAACGCUGGCGGCGUGCUUAACACAUGCAAGUCGAACGGAAAGGCCCUGCUUUUGUGGGGUGCUCGAGUGGCGAACGGGUGAGUAACACGUGAGUAACCUGCCCUUGACUUUGGGAUAACUUCAGGAAACUGGGGCUAAUACCGGAUAGGAGCUCCUGCUGCAUGGUGGGGGUUGGAAAGUUUCGGCGGUUGGUGAUGGACUCGCGGCUUAUCAGCUUGUUGGUGGGGUAGUGGCUUACCAAGGCUUUGACGGGUAGCCGGCCUGAGAGGGUGACCGGCCACAUUGGGACUGAGAUACGGCCCAGACUCCUACGGGAGGCAGCAGUGGGGAAUAUUGCACCAUGGGCGGAAGCCUGAUGCAGCAACGCCGCGUGCGGGAUGACGGCCUUCGGGUUGUAAACCGCUUUCGCCUGUGACGAAGCGUGAGUGACGGUAAUGGGUAAAGAAGCACCGGCUAACUACGUG
rnacentral:rRNA from 1 species